AAGACUUCUUAUGAAAUUAAAGUUAUGGCUUCUCCCGAUGGAGGAUCCAUUAUCAAGAGCAUCAGCAAGUACUAUCCUAAGGAAGGCUGCGAGAUCAAUGAAGAAAGAGUCAAGGCUGGAGCAGAGAAGGCCUUCAACAUGUUUAAGGCUGUUGAGGCUUAUGUCUUGGCAAAUCCUGAUGCCUGCUAAUUUGUAUCUAUCCAACAUGGAGUGAAGAAUUAAUUUUCAUGUUUUUAUUUAUUUAUUAUGUAUUUUUCUCUCUUUUUUUUUUUAGGGAUGGAGGGUCAAACCACUUUUGACCUGACAAUAAAAGUUUAUAAUCGUAUACUUGUAUUGACUGAUUGGUUUAAACUCUAUCAAUAGAUUAAUUAUGGAGUGUAAACCUCAAGUUCAUAAUAAAUAUUUCGUAAUUUUCUUUGUUUUAAUUCCUCUGUAUUUCAAACUUUGUACUUUUAUGUUUUUUCUUUUUCAAUUUAUUAUACUAAGUAUUUUCUCUAUUUAUUUUUAUGGAAUAUUAACUAGUAAAUGGAAUAAUAAAAAUAAUUAAAAAUUUUAUUUGAUCCCUAAAUUCUUGAUGUAUUGAAAUUCAUUUAAAAUUAAAUGUUAUUAUCAAAUUACCAUAAAAUUGUUCUUAAAUUAUCAUUCCUUUUAUUUAAAAAAUAAAUAAAUAAGUGAAUUUUUUUUAAUUUUUUUUUGUUUAAGGAAUUAUAUAUAAAGUAAAAAACAAAUCUAUUACGAUUUGGUGAGAAUUUUAUUUAAUCUGAUUUUUUUAAAAUUCUAUUUCUUUUUUCAAGGUUUAUUAAAUAUAUGUUUUAGUUUUGUUUAACUAAAACCAGAAAUUUUAUGAGCCAAAUAGAAUUUUUAUUUUUAAGAAUUUAAUCCAUUAACUAGUUUAUUUUCUCACAAGAUGGAUGGAAUGGAUAUUUAGUGUAGCGAAUUAAAAAUAAAAAAACAUAUUAACAAAAGACAAAAAAAAUAUAAGAGUGAGAUAUAUUCGAAAUAUGGAAAAGAAAAUUCAAAUGAAAAAUGCACCCUUAUCAAUUAGCCUUUCUAACAUGAUAGUUCAUAUAAGCCUCGAACUAGUCCUGUACUCCAAUUCCCUUCAAGCUAGAAUCGAAACCUGGAAAAAAAUAUUUCACUUAUUUUCAAUUUUUUUUUCAUGUAUAUUUUCUUAACAUUAUCUCAUUUAUUUUAUUAAAAGCAUUUAUUAUAUAGAUAGUUUGAUUUUUUAUAGAAAAAAUUAAGUUCAAGCCAAUCUGUUUUUUACACUAGUUGAGAUUGGCUGGAAUCAAAAUCAUAAACUAGAACCAAUCGGUUUCAAGAGUCACGAAAUCACAAACCAAAGGUUCCUAAGCUGUGGCCAGGUCUAUUAUCAAUCAAUUGUUAGUUCAACAGCAACAAUUUUUCAGUCUGGAAAGAGACUUGACUAUCAUUCAAGUUUUACUUAUAUUUAUCUAAAUGAUAAAGAAUCUUCAAACUACUAGAAAUAAGCAACAUGAAUUGACCAAAAAAAAGAAAACGGAUCAUAUUUUCAUAUUAAUAAUAAAAAUUAUAAUUUAAGCCUCACAUUGCGGUGGCUUCUUAUCAAUAAUGACUUUCCUUUAAUUAAAAUCGUUUACUCUAAUAGCAAGUAACAUGUUUUAUUAAAUUACAAAACGAAUUCAUUUCACAAAAUACAACAGGGGAGGUUUGGAAUGCUAUAAACUAUUAAUACUUUGGCAAGACCAUUGCUUCAGAAUGAGUAAUUGAAAUGCUAUAAAAUAUGUCUUUUCCUUUUUUUUUUUGCAAAUGGCUAUUUGUAUUAAUGUCAUUCAUUGCUAUUGGCGGCUAGCCGGCAAAUAUCUAUUUUUCAAAAAAAAAAAAAAGAUUUUAUAUAUAUACUAUUCAUUUCCAUUGCCACUUAUUAUUUAAAAUACAGGUUCAGAAAAAAGAAAAUAAAACUAUUCUUCACGAUGCAGUCAAAAGGGGCCAUAUCUAGAAAGUAAAGGAAUCAUAUUUAUGUAUAUCAGCACACCACCUUUUUAAUUUAAUUCAUCCUCAAAGCCUGAAUUUUCUGACCUUUCUGCAAAUUCAUUUGAUCUCUCUACAGGGAAUAACCUGAAACCAUGACAUUCAUUCUAUAAGUACUUCCCUUUGCUCUUGCUUUUUGCCACACCUGACUUCCAUAUACAUUCUGCAAAUCUAUAUAUCCCUCUUCCUUGUUCAUUCCUUCACCUGAUAUUUUACCAGAGGCCACCAUGGGUGUUUUGACUUUUGAGAAGGAAAUUACAACUUCAAUCCCACAAGCUAAAACGUUCAAGGCCUUUAUUCUUGAAUCUGACACUCUUAUCCCUAAGAUUUUACCUCAAAUUACUAUAGAGUUCCUUGAAGGAAAUGGAGGACCUGGAACCAUCAAGAAAACUACAUUUGCUGAAGGUUAGCUUUAAUUGUUCAAUAUUCAAAUUUUAGUAUUAUAUAUAGAGAGAGAGAGAGAGGUGUAUUGCUCAAAUUAAUAAGUUUACAAGCAAUUAUAAUAUUUGAAUAAUUAAUAUGCUCUUUCAUGAGUUGCAGGUGGUGAAGUUAAGUACAUUAAAACCAAAGUUGAAGCAACGGACAAGGACAAUUUCAUGCAUUGCUACAGUGUUAUUGAAGGCGAGCCAUGGAUGGAUGAAUUAGAGAAGACCUCUUACGAAAUUAAAAUAAUAGCUUCUUCUGAUGGAGGAUCUAUUAUCAAGAGCGUUAGCAAGUAUUACCCAAAGGAAGGCUGUGAGCUCAACGAAGAAAGAAUCAAGGCUGGAGCAGAGAAGGCCUUUGGUAUAUUUAAGGCUAUUGAAGCUUAUGUCCUGGCAAAUCCUAAUGCCUGUUAAUAUUUUUAUGUCCAAUCUUGAUAUUAAAAAUCAGUUUUCAUGUUUUCUUGAUAUUUUCAUUUCUCUUUCUGUGGAGGGUCAAACCACUUUUGACCUCAUAAUAAAAAUUUGAAGUUGUAUACUUGUGUUCAUUGGUUUAUACACUAUUAUGGAUUAAUUAAAGAGUAUAAGCUCCAAUCUCAAAAAAAACAUAUAGCCAUUUCCUUUCUAAAAUGAUGGAUUUAUAUUUUUCUUUUCUUAAUUUAAGCAUGAGUAGAGACAUAAUUAGAAAUGACCAGCCAAGAUAUUUAAAUCUGACAAAAAAAAAAUCUAUGAUUAUCCACUGCAACCUAGCCAACUAUGGCUUACAGAACUAGUAAUUAAGGUCAGAGAAAGAGAGGAAGGAACCUGAUAGGAAUAUGCGAGUAUGUGACACCAAUACCAAAUCUAUUCAUUUCUAGACUAAAAUGGAAAGAUAUCAAUUGAAUGAAGUAAAUUUUGACUGUUGGGGGGAAAGCAUUUUCGUUCAGUAAUCAGAUGAAGAAAUGACUUGGAUAUUCUUUUAGUUAGUAGCUUUCAACUUUGAACAACUUGGUCUGAUUAUGAAGCUAUAUGAGAAAAUAACUCACCACAAG
rnacentral:lncRNA from 1 species